rnacentral:lncRNA from 1 species
AUAAGUUUAAAACCCGAGGGAUCCAUCCGACCACCUGAGGGCACUGCUCGACCUGCAGAGAGCUCUGUUCGGCGGCCUUUGAAGACUGCUGAUUGUGCAGGGCUGCUGCUGCCAGUGCUUCCCCAUCAGCUGACAGUUCUUUGAGGAAUGGUAGUUAAUAUGCAGUUUUAAUUGCAAAGGAAAAUAACGUCACCCACUUGGCUUUGGUAUGGCUUCAGGGUGUCAUGACUGAUGAAAUCAACGUUUGUCAAACGAAGGGCGUUAAACACAUGGAAAGCAAGGCAGUUUCUGCUCUGAGCACAUACAGGGCAGGUGUUUCAGGCAUCUGCUGGCCAUGGGGGCUGGGAGGCAAUUCCUCUUUGUAUCUGCAAGCCCAACAUUGCUUCAUGGCCCUGGAAUGCUUGCUGGUGCUGAUCCUGUCCUCCAGUCUGCCCUGAAAGGGGCUCUUGUGGCUUCUGCUCUGUGCAUCCCCUAUAGACCUUGUGCAAGGGUGCAGCUUAACUGCUGAGUCAAAUUGCUGCUGCUGGGGAGCUUUUCACUUGGUCAUCUCAUUCCCAGGAAAGUGAGAAAUGGGCUCCUCCUCUGACUGCUUCAGCUUAAGAUAAAGCAGAUGAUGCAGUGAAGAUACUGGUUUGGCAGAUUAGCCAAGAAUGAAGUUUAUUUAGCUAAUGGUUGUGUAGCAGUCUCGAUGCAGCUGCUUCUGCGUGCAAAGUAUUUCUCAUCCUCGAGCAGCUCUGUCUCACCAUGACCUGUCACUGACUCGUUUUGUCAGUGUGCUUCUGGUGCAGGAGGUUACAUCACAGUGUUGUUUCAGAAUAAGGCAUCUAUUUUCCUGUGCACAGCACAGUGCAAAAUUUCAUCUGAUUUCCAAAACUUUGCUUCUAGCCCACAAACUCCUCUCUCAGCUCCAGAUAUGCACCUUCUACCUUUGGGUUGUUUAAAUUCAAACAUCCCCAGUAGUUAGGUUCUGGCCAGUGAAGUACCUUAGGUGAACUUUAUUAGCUCUCACCUGCUCUGAGUGUUCAGCCCAUGCACCUUCCCUAGGGGCAUAACUGAGUUCUGAUUUGAAGGAAAGGAUGAGUGUCUGCUGUGGGAUGACAGAGGCUGCAGUAGAUUUACUUGGAUUACCUCCUAGCUCUUUUGUGACAGCUGACUGCUGGUGUCUGGAGAGACUGUCGCUCUAAAUCCAUCUGACAAACAAGGUUGUAUGUUGGGAUACAGCAAGGAACAAAGAUAAUAGCAAGCUCUCUCAUCCAUCUACCUGUCCCUUUUCUGAUAGCUAAGAGCCUGUGGCAGAAGUGAAGAUGUAUUGCUUGUGUUUGGAGUGUGCUGCCAAGCUGUUUGAUUUGCAGCUUUAUAGGAAGCAUUUUGAUGGGAGGGAAGAGACUUCAGUUUUCAUGUCUGUUGACAUUCCUUCAGUGUGAGCUGCUGCAUUUUUCUGCUUGCUUCUGCUUACUGCCUGACUCCACAUGCAGCUGGCUGGUGUGUGCUGUAAUUGUCACCACUCUCGAUAGUCUGUCUUUGGUUUGCUGUCUGAGGGUGCUCUGAGCUUAUGAUUGCUUCCCAUGCACAUCUUGAGUCUCUCAGUGACACAAGAAUGGGCCAAAAUGUUCUGACCUCUCAACAAAGGUGUGCCUGAGUCUUUGUCACUGUCACUUCUGAAGCACAGUGACACACUCUGAACUUAGUCCCUUUGCCACAGCUUGAGCUAAAUGCUGAGCUGUUAUGCUUCAGCGUAGAGAGGAUACGAGAAGCCUCUCUGCUACAAAAUGGCAGUGGAAAGCCAGAGGGGAGGGCAGACGACCUGAUAGGGAACAGCUGUAUCGUCUUAUGCUCAUCACAUACAGCACAAAGUGAGUAAAGACAGAUGACUGUGAGGUGUUUCUUAGGGUACCAUCUUUGCUUGGCCUUGAGGUUUCAUCUUACCAUUAGAAAACAGUAAAUCACUGUGUUUGUGGCUGCAAAAUUGUGUUUACAUGUGCACACACUGUACAGCCCUUCAGUACUCCUCUGGCAGCCUGUCUUACAGCUGCAUAAGGAACAAAUGGAUUUAAGUUUUGGAAGGCCUUCAGAACAGUGCAGUGGUGGCCUUUCUGCCUCUCCUGGAAGUCUGGCUCUCUAUUAUCUGUCUUUUGGGUUAAUGACAGUGCUGUGGGAGUGCUGAGAGGGGUUUCUGAGCUGAAGGAAGCCGUGAUCCGACUCUGACUCUCACUGGAAUGGGGUGAAGGAAGCACACGUUGAAGUUUUGGUGCAAUUAAUUACCAAGAAUGGUGUAUGGCUGAUAGGCCAUGUCAUCAGUUGCAUUUGUCUGCUGUCUUCUGGAAGGACACAAAUGAACCUCUGCAUCAGAGGGCUCUAAUUGGAUACAACUGCGGGUUUUGUUCGGCUUCAAGGUCUGUAUGUUGCAGCUCAGGAAGGCUGCCAAGAUCCCCCAGUUGUUAACAAGAAUGUCAUUCCUUGUAGAUGCGAGACUCCCUUCAGCCUGUGUUUGCUGGAGAAUCUGCAGAUUCAAAGCAUCCCACCAUGAAGACAAUCAGCCUCCAUGGGCUGAACUUCAGAGCACUCAGGCGAGAAGGCCACUCCACCUCUUUCCAUCCCUGGGAGUCUGCACUGCUGAGCCAGAUACCUGCAGCCAGGCAGACUGGAUGCCGUUGUUUCAGUGCUGCCCCAGCUUGCAGCUCCAGGAAGCAGGGACACCAGGUAGGUGUGUGGGGAUGGGGGCUCCAGCCCAGAAAGGUCAGGAGGUAACAGCAGCACCAAAGGCAUUGCUCGCUCUGAGACUAACUGAUAUAACACACCUAGCCAUAAAAAUAACUCUGAGUGCCUUUAUUUUUAGAACAGAGCUCUUAAAGUGUUCUUGCAUGAAGACCUGUCUCUUAGGAAUGCAAUAAAACAAAGUUAGCAGCUGGAGCUACCUUGUUAAAGUGAAGUUUUCAGGAAACACAGAGCUCAUGCUUUGAUUUUCAGCUCUACCUCCUACUAACUUAAUUUGAAAAUAGUUAUUCUUCACUUAUGGGGAAAGCACAAACUAAGAUCAGUUACUAAAUUUAAACACCCACAAGCAUUUAUAGGGAGCGUCUGACUUCUAUCUGGUUGGUUUGUUUUUUCACGUAGGGUGAAAGUUAGCUUCUGUACGCAGUUCUGCUUUGGAAAUGAGACCGUCUAUGGGUAAUUUUAUCUUAGACACUUUUAUGUCACCCCAUUCUCCCACUCUACAGUAGAGUAUAGGUGUGCUUUCUGACCCCUCUGCCAUCGUAUUGAAAGCAUACAUGUUCUUAUACACCGUAUCCCUUCCAACUCUCCAGGCAGUGGCAGCAUCUCAUGCAUGUGGAUAUAUACCACUGUCCCAACAUCUUUGUCCACCUGGAAGCAGAAUCCAUGGAUUUGGAGAGUCAGAUUCAGAACUCCAGGCUUAGCAACAGAAGCUUUCCUUGAGCAUAAGCUCAUGGAUUAUCAGGCAGAUUUCAGAAUCAAAUUACCAUAACAAGGAAAAAAAAAAAAAGAUAUAGAAUUUGGCACCCGAAUUUAAGUUUGAUUUUAGCUGGGGGCAGAAAUACGUGACAAAAAGCCUUGUGAGUCAUUUAAUAAACCAAGCAUGAGUUUCACAAGCCCCUGCGGUUUCCAUGCUUAUUCUUUGAGACUUUCAUCUUGGCCUGGAGCAGCACUCCUUUGUGACUUUGCAGGGCCCCAGAGCCUGCUCGAGUGCUUAUCCACUCAGAAAUAAAACAAACAUUCUCCCAUCUACAUUAAUUGAAUGUUCAGCUCUCAUUCCUAGCACUUGGCUGUCUACGCUUUAAUGUUUCUCGAGUGCUCUUGACUUUAUCACAGCAUUUGCCCUGUUGAGCUGCUGGUGAGCUCCAAGGGGAACAAAAUCUGCUAAUCCUAUAGACGUGAGUUGAAUGGGAACGCAUCUGGCUACAAAGCAAGGAAGUGCUUUCCUGUGGUGAGGAAGUGCUCAGCUCAGGGCCCAUUGUCUGGCUUUGCAAAGAUGGGCACAGAAAUCUCUUUGGUCGGUUCUUUGCCUCUGUGCUCCAUCCCCUGAUGCUGCACCCUGCCCUCUCUGCUUAGCAGACCCUCUGCAGCAGUCGACAGAGUGCAGACUGCUCUCAUCUCUCCCACCUUAUCUGCCAUUCCUGUGUAGGUUUUACUUCAAUCCUCCCUUCCUGCUUUUCCCCUCAACCCUUUCUCUCCUCCUCCCUCUUUCUGUGGAAACAAAUGUACAGUAGGUGUCUCUUGAACUUGCCUGAACUCCUUGUCCCAAGCACCUUCCUGACUAAUCCUUUCCAGAUGUCCAGGAACUUUUAUGUUUAGCAGCUCUGCUCGAGUUCCUCAUUCAUUCUCAGAUGGAGCAAACCUUCUAUUUCCUAAAAUUAUUUGAAAAAUAGGGCUGAUCUUGGCCUUCUGUGAAACAACCUCAAAGUAUGGCAUUAUGAGCACCACUGCAGCCCCCUGCACCCAAACUGGAGCACGGAGCUGACACAGGAUGGCUCCCGGUCCUUUUUCCUGCAGUCCAGACAGUCUCUGGGCCACCUGGGGAAGGAGAAAAAAGAAUAUCAAGCCGCUGAAAUGACAAAGAAGUUUAAGCAGAGAUGAAGAGAAAGCAGAAAUUUGGGGACCGGCCCGUCAGGACUUGUUCAGGCCUCACUGAUUUGCAGUCUGAAGCAGCGACACGGAUCUGCAGCGUAUCCUGAGCCUCAUUUCUCAACCUUUGAGGGUUAUUUAAGGGAUCUCUGGUCCCCGGUGAGGCUGAGUCAGAAAAGCCAUCUCUGCACAGACAGGAGGGGGAUUAAGUCGGGUCCUGCUUCCCCUUUUAAGCUGCAGGAGAUACCAGCGAGGCCGUUCCCAUGGGACAGAGAUUAUCUCAUUGCUUUUGCUGGAAACGUCUGAGGGAUGCAGCGCAGGGAGAUGAUGGAUGGCUGUGAAACAUGAAGCGUGGAUCCAAGGGAUGGCUCUGCACACGCUUUACAUUUGCUUAAGCCAGAGAAGGACGUGGAUAUGCCGACUACCUGAUAAAGGUCUUUAAUCCUACAGUUGGACUUUCUGUGGGGUUGCAGGGAGCUUUGCUCCUUAUCUAUCCCGGAAUGUUACUGAUGUCGUGGACUCCAGCAAAGGUGAAUGUCCCAAUUUCAGGUCAAGUUGAUGCUGAUAGGGGUGCAGCUGUGGGAUCUGAAACGGAUUAAGGCCGGCUAUAUGAAUUUCAUAAAUAGUAAUACUAAACCAGUGCACACCUUAGGCUGAUAUUAAACAGGGGAUGAGUUGGUAUUCAUCCUUAAUAGCGAAUGCAUUAUAAUGAAAUGGAAACAUCAGGUUUUACUUACAAAGCCCAGGUUUCCCAUAGGAGGCGGUUUAUGGAGUGACCAUUUAUUAAAGACAAAUGCUAUCAUUCGAAACAUAUCUCAUGUAGAGAGGGGGACGGGCUGAUUCGGAGGAGCGGUAAUGAGAGCCGGAGCUUUGCAUUUACAAGGCAUUGAUGGAAGCAGGCUGAGCAUCAAGGCAAGGUGCACUGUCCCCCUGAGCCUCAGCAGCACUGCGAGGUGCUGAGCGCUGAGCCCCGACCCCAAAACCGAAUGGUAACACAUAUCGAGCAGCAGGCAGAAAGCAAAGCCGGUUCUCUCGAGUCAGAGCAGUCAUGUGCUUAAAAUAAGUCCAUCUUGGAGAGGAGCCAUCACCUCAGCAGGGCUCUGGGGGCUGAGCAGGGCUGGGGUGCUAAGCUCUGCUCUCUGCACUGGAAAUCCCCAGAAAUACGAGCUGGCUGCUGCUGAAUGGCUCCGGGUCUGCGUGAUGCUGUCUGAAGGAGCAGGCAAGAGAGCGCCAGGGGUUGUGCUCCAUCCUGUCGUUGCCACGUGGGUGGGUAACUGCGUCCUCAGGUUUUGCUUGUUUCAUCUUUGUGGUUUUGUCAUUCAUUGGGAAUUUCCAGCUCACGGCUGCCCUACGUACACACAGUUCACAGCUCUGGUGCGCUCUGAAGCACUAUGAUUCAUUCAAGUGGAAGGAGAAUGCGCAGAGCACCCUCAGGCCUGAGCCCAGGAGGGCAGUGCUGAUGGUAGCAGAGGGCACAGUGCCUCUUCUGCACACUCAGAGGCUUCUGUGACCUGAGGAGCGUACACAAAAAGGAAGGGAGAUCCCCCAUGUUUUAAUGUGCUCCUGCUGAGGGAUGCCAAUGUCAGCACCCACAGCCACAGCCCUUCCAAAGCCACAUGGCUUCCCUUUCACUUCAUGAGUUAGUGAUUUGGAAUUGCAGGGCAAAUGUUAAAUGUUAACAACUGCUGGUAAAGUCACAUCUGCAGAUCGUUUUGCUGUUCACCUGGAAAGAAACAGCUCUCAUUCAAUUAAUCAAAGAAGUAUAUGGUGGCUUUCUGGAUAGAUGCUGGCACCCUGACAGGACGAUGCUGUUCGUUCUUUGGGAUUGAAUCAGAAAUCCAGGAUGAGGACAUCAUUUGGAGGAAGUGGCAGGUAAAAUUGCAUGCUUUCUAGAAGCAUAGAUUUGGUUUGUUGCGUGUAGGAAGACUUUCUGGCUCAUUGUAGUAUGACAUUUGCAACCAUUUAAUUUGAAUAAAUUCCAUUUUUAUGUUCCAUCCGGCUUUUAAUAUGUCAGCCAAACCAUCCGUAAGGGACAGAAUGUAAAUCCUGCCUGCUCUCCCUUCUGUGCUAUCAUCAGGGAUCGAUCAUGCUAAUGCUGCUUGUUCCUUGGGCUUCCAGAGCUCCCAGAGGUCAGCGGCUCCAUUUGGGAAGGCCUGGGAGAAGCUUCAGGUUCCUUCAGGAUGGAGAGGUUGGGAGCUCUGUCUCUGUUCAUCGUGCUGUGCGUAGGAUGGGUAACCAUGGACCAGGUUAAGUGCAGAACGAGCAUGGCUUGUGGCUGCAAAGGGAGAAACGUGGCCUGAAGUGGCUGCUAUAGGGACAGUGGGCAAGAGCAAAGAAGUCCUGAGCAGGGUCUGACUCCUGAAGAAGAAAGCAAGCAACCAAAUGUGUACCCCCUGCCAGCCCUGGGGAGGUGGCUGUGCCAGCAGCAGGGUGCUGCCGUGCAUCUGUCCCAUUUGCUGGCCUGUGCCAUCAGGAGGUGAGGUGCAGACCAGCAACAGUGAGCGGCCGGCUUUGCUGCCGUGCCACAAACCAGCUGCAAUCAGCUCCAGUGCGAGCCAGUCCCAUUGCAGAGCUGCUUGGCUAAAAUUAGAAAUGCAAUUGAGAUCAGGCUAGAAAAUGGAUUGCUUUUUUUCAUAAAGCAAAGCAGGUGCCAAGCACCUGUGUGGAAAUGCACGGCUGUUUAGUGCUUCGCCUCCAUCCAGUGCUGGAGAGACAGCAGAGCAGGUCCUGGGGGCAAAGGUGAGGGGGGUUCUGGUAUGCUCAGCAGUCAUUGCCUGGCAUCUCUUAGUGAGAGCAUGGAAUUCUCUGUGUGUUACAGGUGGCAUGUCUGUAUGCAUGUCUGUAUGCAAUGCAGCUGGGGGAGAACACCCAUCCACUCUGAGCCUGCUGCCCCAGCAUGGUGGGGAAUAGGCAACAGUUCCCAGAAGGGCAAAUUGUAACUACUGAGAGACCUCCUUGAUGCGUUAUCCUCACAUCUGGCAGGGAGAACAGAGGGGCAAGGGAAAUGCAUUGCCUGUCUGCCUCUGCAGCUCAGACAGGCUGGUGACAGCUCCGCAAUGUAAAUGAUGCGCUUUAAGCCCUAAAUAAAGUGUGAGGAACGUGUUUGGGAUCAGUAAAUCCAUCCUGACAAAAAGAAGCAAAGGAAUGAAAUCCCUUUUGCCAAACAGACUGGUAAGUCCAGGGACUAAAUGGAAUCUAGUCCCACUGAAAAAUGGCUUCUGGAGAUGGAUGGCUGCGAUCUCUCUGCUCUCAUCAGUGGCAUUUACCAGGCUAAGGGAGCAGGGAGGCUUUGGAAAGGGUGAGGCUGGGGAAUGGGGUCACAUUCCCCUCCUCAAAAUGCUGAGUUCAUUGCGUUUAUAACAGUGUUCCCCCAGCAGCAUUAAUCACCUGCGAGGGGUGGCUGCAGCCAAACAUCCCUGCUGGCCUUCAGCAGACUGGGGCCUUCCUUCUGCUUGUAAGUGGUAGACUUAAGAUAAGCCCAGCGCCUCUUAAAUACGCCUGCCUCUGAAUAAACAAAGCAGUAUGAUGUGUUACAGGCUGUACUGCUGCAAACUGUCCAGCUGAGGAGCAGGAGGGGACUCAGUGCAUUUUGUUGGUGCUGGAAAGUCACCUGUCUGCAGAGGAGGGCAGGCUGCAGGGCCACCAGCCAGCUUGCUCAGACAGCAUGGAAAGCCUCAAGGCAAUAACAGAAGGCAAACAGCAUUGGAUAAGUGCAGGGGGCAGCCCAGAGCGAGUGUGAGCUGAGCACAGGUCUGGCACUGCACAGCUCAGGGUCUGCUCCCAAGGAAGGACAGCAGCCCUGGGCUCGGUGGAAACCUGAUGCUAUGCUGCUUGCGUGAGCUCUGUGCUGCCCAUUUCCCAGCAGGUUUCUGUGCCCACUCCCUCUGCUGAGCCACCUUUCCCAGGAGAUUCCUAUCUUGCAGGAAAGCUCUUCAAACAAGCCAAGCAUCUGGACAAGGCCUGUGGGCAACUGCUGCCUGGCAGCUCAGGGGAGAAUCAGCAGCUGUCCUCCCACAUGUGAAAGAAAGCAUUGGUGAUGAGGCUGAGCAUCACAUCUGAAUCAGCCCAUCCACCCCUCCUCUGAAAGAUGCUCCAAGCUGCUCUGGUGCCAAAGAGCAAGCCUGGAGAGCAUUUGGGUGAGAAAUCAGUAAUGCUGAUAAGGCAGAAUUGCCUGCAAACAGGGCGCAGCCAGGCAGACAUAGGCAGGGGACUGGGAGAGCAGGAG